ensembl:lncRNA LINC03021 long intergenic non-protein coding RNA 3021
ACAGUUCUUAACGGCCGCGCGUCCAGAGUCUGUUCCUUCUGAUGUUCGGAUGUGUUCGGAGUUUCUUCCUUCUGGUGGGUUCGUGGUCUCGCUGGCUCGGGAGUGAAGCUGCAGACGUUUGCGGAACUCGUGAGUUAUGACAAAAAGAUAUUAUGACUCCCAUGCAGCGGAUGAAGACAUUGAUGCCCAUGAAAGGUAAUUCAGUUCCAACCCCUUCAGUGACAGCAGAGAGACCCAGGCCACCUUCCUUGAGGAUUUCGGAGCUGCAGCCCACAGCCAGGGCCAGAGUGGACUCAGCUCUCCAACCCACGCCCAUGAAUCUCUGCGACUAAAGAUUUCCCCAGACGCUCCCAGGUUCCUCCUGAUCUGCAGCAUUGUCGUCCCUGCCACUGACCAGGAAGCCCUCUGUGCUCCCAUAGCCCCUUCAGAAACCUGUGACUUCCUGAGUCCUAAGUCUUCAGCAGAAACAGCAGCUGCCCCACGCCUUGAGCGGCAGCAGGACCCUUUCUGCCCUGAUCUCCACUCAGCGCUGGAAGCCUGGCUCACAUUCUCUCUACUCACAUCAGCCUGAUGUCUUCAAGCCAGGAUUUCUUGGGGUUUAUCUCACCAGAUGCAAUCAACUCAAGUUCCCUCUGUGGCGCCUUCUCAUUCCCUUAUGCCAAGUCACACUAAAAUACUUGAGAACAGUAUCCAUAAAACGUU